rnacentral:rRNA from 1 species
CCAAUAGCGUAUAUUAAAGUUGUUGCAGUUAAAAAGCUCGUAGUUGAAUUUCGAGAUCAGUACGCUGGUCGUGCCUUCGGUAUGCACUGGUGUCACUGGUUUCUCCCUUCUGAAGAACUGUCAUGUCAUUAAGUUGGUGUGGCGGGGAAUCAGGACUGUUACUUUGAAAAAAUUAGAGUGUUUAAAGCAGGCUCGCGCUUGAAUACAUUAGCAUGGAAUAAUGAAAUAGGACGUUUGACCCUAUUUUGUUGGUUUCUAGGAUCGACGUAAUGAUUAAUAGGGAUAGUUGGGGGCAUUAGUAUUCAAUUGUCAGAGGUGAAAUUCUUGGAUUUAUUGAAGACUAACUACUGCGAAAGCAUUUGCCAAGGAUGUUUUCAUUAAUCAAGAACGAAAGUUAGGGGAUCGAAGACGAUCAGAUACCGUCGUAGUCUUAACCAUAAACUAUGCCGACUAGGGAUCGGAUGAUGUUAAUUUUUUAAUGACUCAUUCGGCGCCUUACGG